GAAUUAAACCCACAUGAGGAUCAUUGUUGGCAUCAAUGAUGAUUCAAAACUAAGGUGGCGAAGGAUGGGCAUGCGUACUAUUAGUUAGUUGGUGAGGUAACGGCUACACCAAGACGACGAUAGUUAGGGGAUCUGAGAGGAUUGUCCCCCACACUGGUACUGAGACACGGACCAGACUCCUACGGGAGGCAGCAGUAAGGGAUAUUGGGCAAUGGGGGCAACCCUGACCCAGCCAUGCCGCGUGAAGGAAUACAGCCCUAUGGGUUUUAAACUUCUUUUGCCGGGGGAUAAAGACUGUUACGAGUAACAGUUUGAAGGUACCCGGAGAAUAAGCAUCGGCUAACUCCGUGC
rnacentral:rRNA from 1 species